rnacentral:lncRNA from 1 species
UACAGUACUCAAAUUGGCAGUUUUAUUUAAAAUGCGGCACCUAUCAGGCAAUAGCUGUCGCUACAUUGAUAAGGCAAUCACAAAUGCCACAUCCUGAAAAUAUCGAGCGAUAAUCUCAUACCUAAUGAAUCACAACCUAAUCAUGCAGGAUCAUGCCAACUAACUUGCCAAUUGAAGCUUCAACUCUCCACCAUAAAAGAUGACCUUCAAAAAAGGUAUGCAAGAAUUC